UGAUGCUCUGCCGGCCGCCCCGCGAUGGAAUCUGCUGAAUUCGGCUUAUAGUUUGAUCCUGUCUCCGAUGACCCCUUCCGGCCAGCCUAAUACAUGCAAGUCUCCGUGUUCAGCAAUGGACACCGGCCGACGGGUGCGUAACGCGUACACAACGUGCCCGAAGGCGGAGGAAAGCGGCAGGAAACUGACGGUAAUACUCCAUGGUGUUGUUUGAUGGCAUCAUUACACAACUAAAGUACAAGCGCCCUUGGAUCGGUGUGCGUUCGAUUUUAUAGUUUGCGGGGUAACGGCCCACCAAGGCUCCGAUCGAUAGGGGGUGUGAGAGCAUGGCCCCCCCCACGGGUACUGAGACACGGACCCGACUCCUACGUGAGGCACCAGUAAGGAAUAUUGGACAAUGGGCGGAAGCCUGAUCCACCCAUGCCGCGUGAAGGACGAAAGCGCUCAGCGUUGUAAACUUCUUUUGGGUGGGAACAAUAACCCCGACGUGCUCGGGGGUUGAGGGUACCACCAGAAUAAUCACCGGCUAACUCCCUGCCAGCAGCCGCGGUAAUACGGAGGGUGCAAGCGUUAUCCGGAAUCACUGGUGUUUAAAGGGUG
rnacentral:rRNA from 1 species